rnacentral:rRNA from 1 species
CGGAGGGUGCAAGCGUUAUCCGGAUUCACUGGGUUUAAAGGGUGCGUAGGUGGGUUGGUAAGUCAGUGGUGAAAUCCCCGAGCUUAACUUGGGAACUGCCAUUGAUACUAUCAAUCUUGAAUACUGUGGAGGUCAGCAGAAUAUGUCAUGUAGCGGUGAAAUGCUUAGAUAUGACAUAGAAUACCAAUUGCGAAGGCAGCUGGCUACACAAAUAUUGACACUGAGGCACGAAAGCGUGGGGAUCAAACAGGAUUAGAUACCCUGGUAGUCCACGCCCUAAACGAUGGAUACUCGACAUUUGCGAUACACAGCAAGUGUCUGAGCGAAAGCAUUAAGUAUCCCACCUGGGAAGUACGAUCGCAAGAUUG